UUUUGCCUGGUUCCUGCUUGCUGUUUGCAGACAACAUGAAUUGUGGCCCAGCCAUGCCCGCCUGCCUUGGAGCCAGCUAAGUGUGGACUGAAACCUCCAAAACCUAUCCCAGAAAGAAAGGGAAGGAAUCAGGAACCGGAGACCGACAAGGAGGAACUUCAGAGGCUGACAGGACACACAAAGUCCACAGACUGAGGCAGAAGCCAACUUUGGCUGUAUGGUGAAUGUGUUUAAUGCAGUCGGGGGCCAGCACCGAAGCAGGCUCGCAAGGUGAUGUUCCCGGAACAGAAAGUCACCUGGGGAGCCCACUAUGGCCACAUCACUUAGGAAUCCCAUUAAAUCAAGACUGAAAGACAAUAAUAAGAUUAGGUCUCAUCUGUACUGUUUCCAAUUGUUUGCCUGUCUGAACAAAGUUUUAAAGAAUUUUGUCUACAGUGUCCAUAAACAUAAUUUCCACAAUAUCACUCAAAAGUAUGUGAAUUACGUAAAUCUAGCCAGCACGUUACUAUGAGACAUCCUGGAAAAGAUUUUUUCCUAGGUUUCAGUGUCUGUAACCAAUAAUCCUACUCUAUUUGUCAAUCUUGCCUAAAUAUAUAUUUGCAAAACACAUAAACAUAAGAUGAUUUUCAAAAACCAAAUGCUUUUCAGAGAAAAGCAGAUGGUUUGAUCAGAAAAAACUAUAAUAAUCUCUUUUCAAAAUACAAGGCAGGCACAUAGAAGGGUGCUUUUUUAAAUAAACAUAAUAUGAUCACAUAUCAAUAUCAUUUAUCAUAUGAACUGGUUAUAUAUGUACAUGUAAAUAUUUAAAUUUUACAUAUAAAUAUAAUUACAUAUAAAUAUAAAAACUUUUGAGCUGCUAUAAUUUGAACAAAAUUUUCCAUAAACUCUAAGCAAAAUAAAUGAUAUCAUAAUGUCAGGAGAAAUAAAACUUAAUAUGUUUAAAGUGAUAACCUCCUGUAAAGAACAAUUUGCCAUUUCUCAAGGACAAAUGAAAAAUUUACA